rnacentral:tRNA from 1 species
GGCUCAUGGCGCAAUGGCAGCGCAGCUAUCUGAUACGUAGCAGGUUGCAGGUUCGAUCCCUGCUGAGCCUA